GGCAACAUGGCCGAGUGGUUAAGGCGCUAGAAUCAGGUAAUCACGGAUUAUCAGGUAAUUGUGAUUGCGCAAUCUAGUCCGAAAGGGCGUGGGUUCGAGUCCCACUGUUGUCA